UACGUAGGGUGCGAGCGUUGCCCGGAUUUAUUGGGCGUAAAGGGCGCGUAGGCGGCCACGCACGUCCGUUGUGAAAUCGCUCGGCUCAACUGGGCGGGGUCAGCGGAUACGGUCGAGCUUGAGCAAGCUAGGGGGCAAUGGAAUUCCCGGUGUAGUGGUGGAAUGCGUAGAUAUCGGGAGGAACACCAGUGGCGAAGGCGGUUGCCUGGAGCUUUGCUGACGCUGAGGCGCGAAAGCGUGGGGAGCGAUCCGG
rnacentral:rRNA from 1 species